rnacentral:rRNA from 1 species
UACGGGGGGAGCAAGCGUUGUUCGGAUUUACUGGGCGUAAAGGGCGCGUAGGCGGCGUGACAAGUCACUUGUGAAAUCUCCGGGCUUAACUCGGAACGGUCAAGUGAUACUGUCGUGCUAGAGUACAGAAGGGGCAACUGGAAUUCUCGGUGUAGCGGUGAAAUGCGUAGAUAUCAGAGGAACACCUGCGGCGAAGGCGGCAUCCUGGACCGGCAUUGACGCUGAUGAGCGAAAGCUAGGGGAGCAAACGGG